rnacentral:rRNA from 1 species
UACGUAGGGUGCGAGCGUUAAUCGGAAUUACUGGGCGUAAAGCGUGCGCAGGCGGUCUGUUAAGACCGAUGUGAAAUCCCCGGGCUUAACCUGGGAACUGCAUUGGUGACUGGCAGGCUUUGAGUGUGGCAGAGGGAGGUAGAAUUCCACGUGUAGCAGUGAAAUGCGUAGAGAUGUAGAGGAAUACCGAUGGCGAAGGCAGCCUCCUGGGCCAACACUGACGCUCAUGCACGAAAGCGUGGGGAGCAAACAGG